UGCAUCAUAAUAUAAUAAAUAAAAAUAAUUAGUAUAAAGUGAGCAAAUAUUUAAUGAAAAUUAAUGGAAUCCGUAAAAUUCGAAUUGGUUACUAUGGAUACGUAGGUAUUUAAUGGCAUAACAUUUUAUUUAUCAUGUCAAUGUUUCACGGACGGCUUAUAAAUUACUAUAUAAUAUAUAUUAUUUACACAAUUAAUAAUCAUUGAAAUCUUCAUAAGAUUAGAUUCGUUAGAGCCCUCUCGAAUUUAUUUGAAAAUUCAAAUAAACGCCAUAUUAGUGUCACUGAAUUUGAAUAUAGAUAAAUAAUUAGUCGUCUAAACUGGUCUGGUAACAAAAUUGAACAUCGACCAAAUAUUAAUUUUUAACUUGUUUUAUCAAAAUCAUAUAGAAAAAUACACAUAACAUAGAAAAAUUAGUCAUAAUCGCGAAAGAGUUGCAAGAUGUAAAGAAAAAGCUAAAAAAUUAUUGACGUAUAAGAAUGGAGAUAGUUUGGAAAAGAGGGCGACGGCGUCGAUAGAUUGUUGGGAAUGCGGCGUUAUUUCGUUUCAAGUUGGCAGCACCGUCAGCCUCGUAACAAAUCUCACCUAUGUCGAGUCGAGCGCGAGAGACAGGAGCGUAAGCUUGUCCGCGAUCGUUUGUCCGCGUUCGACAGGUCUUUCAAAUAGCGUGCGUGUAAUCGGUGGACGGUAGAGCGUAGGGAUAUAAAUUGUAUUCGUAUAACCAGUUCCGAAAUAAAAGUUUGUUGGAAAGCCUGGGGAGCGAAAGGACUGCGGAGGGGACUGCAGUUAAUACGGGGCUUGUGUGUGGGCAUAUAAUAGCCGAUCGGGCAUACUGGUGACACGGCUGCGGAUUUUUCCUUCGACAAGAAGGAAGGAACAUACGAAGCUCGCAAAGUGCAUGUGCUAGUGUGCGUGUCACUAUAAAAGAGUUCAGAGCCGCUUCGGCGGCGCUCCCAAAUCUAACUGCAGAAUUGAGUCUGUAGUGGUGAGGCCGCGGUACUAUCGGGCCACGAUUGAGUACGAUCACGAUCGCACGCGGCAGGGCCGUUUGUAAUGGAGGAGGUUUCCGAGUGUAUUCCCGUGCGACAGAACAGUCACGGCGAUGCACGCCGUAUUGACUGAGACGCGAUAUUUAUCGUUGACUAUUCCCCCCGGCCGGCCGGGCAAGAGAGGCAGGUCGAAAUUGGUAUGGAAUCGUCCAGGGUCCUCGACACGACGAACACUCACUCCCGUCUGUGAUAACCACUAGCCGCUUAGAAAGAGAUAGAAGAAGAGAGAAAAAGGAAAGAAAGAGAGAUAGAAAGCUGUUGUGUAUUUUGCGCGUGUGUGUUCUCCUCGUCUGCCCUCUUCAUUACGUCUUUAAGUGUAAACAUUUCUCGAAAUCCGUUUCGAGGUUAGGAUAGCAUGGGGAUUGAUCCCCUGAAGGCAUCGACCGACGAACCGUGACACCUGCGACUCGCGUCGUGUACGCGGUGUGUGCUUUUGUGUGUGCGUGCGUGUGUGUAUUCCUCCUUAGGAAACCGCUGGGAGUUAUUAUUUUCCAUCGGCGGCCAUCCAACGGGACGACCAAAGAAGAAAAUAUGUCAAGAAUGGGGAUCGAUCCCCGACGAUUAAGCGCCGUGCAUCGUUUACAUCAUUAAUUCGACUAAUACAAGACUAACAUCGGCAACGUUUUUUUUUUUACCGUACAAUCGACCUUUUCUGUCACGUUUAAACAGACUGUCGCGGAUUACUCUGCCACGACAGAGGACACUCGCACCAUGCAGAAAAGAGACGGUAGAGACACACAGCUACAGCUCGCGCGUAGCUCUGAACGCGAACAGGAAACGACCAAGAGGAUCUCUCGUGGUAGCGGUAAUGCUACCAGAUUCAACGCGUAUUCCUCAAGGUAUAGUGUCACCUCCUCCUCUAAUGUACUCAUGGUCGGUCCCAACUUCCGUGUCGGCAAGAAAAUUGGAUCUGGCAACUUUGGAGAACUUCGACUCGGGAAGAACCUCUACAAUAACGAGCAUGUAGCGAUUAAAUUGGAACCAAUGAGGUCAAAGGCGCCGCAGCUACAUUUAGAAUAUAGGUUUUACAAAUUAUUAGGCACACAUGAGGGUAUACCAGAAGUAUACUACUUCGGCCCUUGUGGGAAGUACAACGCUCUGGUGAUGGAACUUCUCGGACCGAGUCUAGAGGAUCUAUUCGACCUCUGCGGUAGGAGGUUUACCCUAAAGACCGUUCUCAAAAUCGCCACACAGAUCCUUCAUAGGAUAGAGUACGUUCAUAGUCGGCAUUUGAUCUACCGUGAUAUCAAGCCGGAAAACUUCCUGAUAGGACGAUGCACAACCAAACGGGAAAAGAUUAUCCACAUCAUCGAUUUCGGACUGGCCAAAGAGUACAUAGACCUGGAGACGAACAAACACAUACCGUACCGGGAACACAAGAGUCUGACGGGUACAGCGCGUUAUAUGAGCAUCAACACGCAUCUUGGAAAAGAGCAGAGUAGAAGAGACGACCUAGAAGCGUUAGGAAACAUGCUGAUGUACUUCCUGCGCGGUAGCCUUCCUUGGCAAGGGCUGAAAGCGGACACGUUGAAAGAACGAUAUCAAAAGAUCGGCGAUACGAAGCGGAACACGCCGAUCGAGGUUCUCUGCGAUGGACAUCCCGAGGAAAUGGCUACGUACUUGCGGUAUGUGCGUAGAUUGGAUUUCUUCGAGACGCCCGACUACGAGUACCUGAGGAACCUUUUCCACGACCUGUACGAGAAACGAGGUUUUGUCGACGACGGAGAAUUCGACUGGACUGGCAAGACGAUGCCACACAACUUCGAUCAACUUAGAGCUCUGAGGACGGCUCCUCCCUCUCACAUUGGAAAGACUAAAUCUGAUAAGUCUACACCUGUUGGAUCCCUGCAGACUGGACAAGAGAUUAUUGUAUCCCCGAAUCGUGAUCGGCACCCGUACAAGGAUGUGACAGAGCCAGGGGUGGGAGGCGGGGGCGGUAAAUGGGUGGGAACCUCCAGGACAGAUACUGCGAAGCAAUCAGGAGCUGGUGGUACAUUGACACCCGCUGAUAGGCACGGUUCUGUACAGGUGGUGUCCUCGACGAAUGGAGAACUAGCCAAUGAUGAUCCUACUGCAGGACAUUCUAAUACGCCGAUCACAGCACCUCAAGAAGUGGACAUGGUCGACGAAACCAAUGUUUGGUUUAUUUGCAGAUGCUGUUGUUUCUUCAAGCGGAAGAAGAAGAAAAGUGGAAGACAAAAGUGACUGUCUGUUAUCGUCAGUCUUGGGGGGGACAAUACAGUGCGCGUGUAACAGAAGUGCAGAUGAAGUUUUUUUGGGAAACGUGUUGCGGCAGUGCGCGAAGAAACCCGUGGACAAGAAAAAGCUGCAGUUGAUCCGGAAUGGGGGAGGCCGUUACCUUGCUACAUGCCGGAAGUCGACCCGCUUCUCAAGAUUCGGUGCUGCACACCAUCGUCACGAUGUCAUGCCGCCGUCGUUAUCAAAUUAAAACCACCACACAGCCAUCAUUAUUACUGCUAUUAUUAUUGCUAUUAUUAUCGUUAUUAUUACCACGAUUAACUUUGCUCUUCUUCUUUUCGUUCUUACAAUUAUUAUUACGAUUAUUAUUAAUAUUAUAUUAUUAUUAUAUUAUUUUAUUAUUUUAUUAUUAUUAUCGUUUAGCUGAUUAUUAUUGUCACUUCGUCUACGAUCAUCAUUUAAAACGAAUCAAACAUCGUUUAUCAAUGUCGAUGUUACCGAAUACACUGUAAACUUGUCACUGCUGACUGAGGAUAAUUUUAACCGUCGAUCCCAACCGUUUAGUACUGGUAAAUCGCUCCACCUACGUUACUAUACGCGUAUAACAGUAAGGAAUUGACGUGCCGAUGGUGAAAGAACGCGUUUUGUGCCUACGACUCUUUCAUCUUGUACCGCGGUGGCGCACUUUUCAACACGCCGUCAUUGCAAAAAUGUGUUACGAUACGUGUAUUAAAUCGUAAAAAAGAAAAGAAAUUGAAGCUGAGAUCUCAUUUUACUCAAAGUCCCGGAUAACGAGCGUAGCGUACUCCUGCUUGUAUCGAACUUUAUAAACAAAUUACUUGUGAAGUCUGAUCGACUGGAAAGGCAUGAAACUGAAAGGGUAAACGCGUUCGCGUAUGCUUAACUUCGAUCAGUUACAAGCACGUACAGUAGGAUAACGUUUUUCAAGUUUGUGAUCGUUUCAGUUAACUUCUUCUUAUUUUCCUUUCAACGAUCACGAGAAGCAGACGAUCGAGUAGGAUUGAAAUUCACGUAUCAUUUUCGCGCGUAUCUUUCAAUUUCAUCGUUUCACAUUCGAAUCUUCCAAAUGUUUUGUCUUUUCGCUGUCGCUGAGAGUUUGACAAGUAGUUUCUUGUUUAAUGGAAGAUUAUAUCCUUUUAAGUUCAUCUUGUACAGUACACGAGGUAUAACAGUAUUAACGCUAUCUGUAGGUAGCAGCGGAUACGUGCUAAAUUGCACUCACCGUAUUUUAGUUAAUAAUUUUUAACUAAUUUUAUUUUACGCCUACACUGCCUGUCGUUAUUCUAUAUAAGUACACGAUUAUACGUGAAAACAUUACACUGACUGUACAUAAAAGAUAUCGAGAACUAUUUUGCUACGAAGCUCCAUAUGCUUUAUAUCGAUUGUUUUAGUUAAUCGCAUAUCAUUUACCGAGCUUCGUAUAACAAAACGACUGUUCAAAUUAUCAAUAUAUAUCCUGGAGCGACAUAAAAGCGAUCGUAAUUCUAAGCAGUUCGAUUUCGGUUUCAUGCCUUCCGUGAAUUUAUCACGUAAAAGCUAUACGUCGCAGAAAUCAUUCAAAUUACAUUUUACAUAACAUAUCGAAACACAAAGAAAAGAGAAAUUACAAAUUUUCCUCUGUAGAUUCUAAUAUCUACCGUGAAAAUUGAAUAGGACGUAGAUCAACAAAUUAUACACAUGUAUUCGACACAGUUGAUCCGUGUUCUACCCAAAACACGAAGAUUCGGGAAACUUUCUUGAAUCGUAUCUUAGCGUCUAUAAAAGGACUCGUUCAUUUCCGAGUAAUUUUUUUAUUCUUGAAACACACGUGUUUAAACAAAGAUAAUUAUUAGAAAUGUAACAAAAAAAAAGAGAACCAAAGUAUGCUUGUAAUUGAAUAUACAUCAAUAUAGGUUUGAUUUUAAAGCAAUAAAAACACAAACUUUUACCGUCUCUGUUUAACUCUACAAAAGAAAAUAAAACAGAAUUUCCUUGGAACGAAUCGUUGUCUGCUAGAUCGACGCGAACACAACUGGAUUUAAAACCAAAAGAAAAUAAAGAGAGAGAGAGAGGGAGGGAGAGAGAGAGAGAGGCGGGGGAGAGAGAAAAAAGGAAUAUAAAAUUGUACGUGACAUAGUUAUACAGUACUGUGCACUUACUUUGUGGAAAACUUUCUCGAGAGCUUAUUUAAUAUGUUUGUGCCACGAAGUUACGAGAAGAAGAGCGUUAUGAUGUGAUAUAUCCAAAUCCCCGUGGAUGUUCUGAAAAUGCACCCAAGCAGUGAAGAGAUAUACUUAACGUGAAAAUAUGCGCGCGAUGGCGAAGGGGAAAAGGAUCUUGUCAGCCCUGCCGAUUAAACGAGCAAGAAUAUUUUAAGAGGCGAUGUAAUCGACAGACUGUCACUUGUCUGCGCGUGAAGACGGCGAGUACUAACUUUACCGUGUCCGAAGGUCCGAACUUCUACUAGUCUGGCCAACGAUUGCGUACCACUGCCGAGCCAUACCGAUGUACCGUGUUAGCGUACCGUGAGUGCCCGUACACGUUGUAUCCAUUAAUUAUUGGCCAAGCACAUCCGACGACGAAACGUUCGAUGUACUUAGAACGAAAGCGAGAGCGCGGUGCACUAGAGAGAGAGAGAGAGAGAGAGAGAGAGAGAUUGCAAACUAAAGGAAAGGAGAGAGUGUAUCACGAUUUAUGUAAAAACGAAAAAACAAAACAAAAAAAAGAGAAACUAACAAAGAAACGUUAUGUCGCUAGCUUCUUCACACCUGUAUGUAUUACGCUGUUAUUGGCCGUCGGAUGUCUUGAAGUAAUACGCUUAAAUGGAGAUGAGAACUAAACCUAUUAACUUUGUGGAUUUCCUCUCUCGUUAUUAUCUGUAUCUUCCCACUGGGUAUGUACCGAGAGUAUUGUUCCUUUUAUAAGCUUGCCAGCGCAAGUAAAUGUCGAACAAUCGGACGUUAGAUUUGUAUACAGCGAAAGAGUGCGAAUGCAAAUGCUAUGACAUUAGGAAGGAGAGAAUGAGCGCGGUAAUGUUAAGACCUAGCGAAAACAUAGAAAAGAGGUAUCGAUUGGCGGAGUGAAAGAGAACAAAUUCAGAGUACCAGAGUGAUGGAAGGACAAAGAGAAGAGGAAGGAGAUCCCGUUGUCCUCCAGUGUGUAUGCUUUCAUGUGGAAAGAGAACGAAUCUUCGUGUUACUCGAAUGCUUAAGAAGCUAAUGCCUCUUACGUUUUCUUACUUUUUCGUUACUAGUAUCGUUUCUAAGCAUGAUCUCUCGAUGGAACAUAUACGACACAAACAUACACAUACAAACAUAUGCACAGACACCAAAUUUCGCGAUUAGGGUAUAUAUUAGUAAUGAAUUCCAAAAUUAAGGAACGGAGCUAUCUCCGUAAGAGGAGGGAGGAAGCGAGCACGCGCAAGAGAAUGAAAGUGAGAACGUGUGAAAGAAAGAAAGAAAGAAAGAAAAAUGCGCGAGUGAAUCUUGUGGAAACGAGAGAGUCUCCGUAUUUAUAUCGCUAUCCAGCCACAUAUCGUUGGCGUGAUUAUGCUGCAACUAUGUUGCAAUUUAGCUUGUAGUCUUUUUUUAGUCGAUUUUUCAUGUGUCACCAGUUUUUAAAUACAACACGACUGACUGCUGGUUAAGUAUGGUUGUGAGCGAUUAAGAAAAUGUUUCCUUAUCUUAUCCGGGAUAUAUGUCCCCUUUUCUUAACGAUAUUUUUGUUUUCUUAUUCAUUCUUGUACUUCGUAUAGAAAAGGUUGUUAUGCUCGUCCCAAUGACGAAUUCGAUCGUCCAUUACUAAUGAUAGAACAAUGAUUGAGUUUGAAAACGAUUAUUUGUAUAUUUGUAAAAUGGUGCGAAUAGAUCGGACCGAGAUCAAUGUAUGUAUGUGUCUUUCAUUUCCUCGCUUUUAAUGAGUUGCUACAACUCGCGACUUAUCGUUCGUUUUUCAAUUAUGAGAAUGAUAGGCGGUCAUGUUCCAGCAAGACUCAAGCUGAUCGUAAAUCAAUCCGCACAGGAUACGUGAUUUCCGUUGCGUUUCUUUUUUCAAUCGUUUGUUUUGUAAUUACUACAAAGCGAAAUUUAUUAUUUUUAAUCAUGUAUUGAAAAAUUUACUCGAUAUUUUCUUUUCUUGUAUCAAUUAUAUAAGAAUUGUAGCUUAAUUAUUUCUUUAACCCUGACAAUUUUUUGUGUGCAUUCUGUGCAUGGGACUGGUAUCUUCUUUAAUUGUUCCGUUACAUGUAUUUCCAAUUCGUUUUCAUUGUAAGGCAAGGGCUAAAGUUUGUAAAGUUGUAUUAUUAAAUUUUGAUCUGUCUUUAAAACAUUUGUUUUGGAAUGUUAGUAACAUUUAUUUAAAACGAAAAAAACUCAUUCGAUUAUAGCUAAUAUGUUAAUCAAUGUGUCGCGUUUUUGUAGUGAAUUUUUCACGUGAUACAUUUUGCUCUGCGAACAUGAUCUAGAUAAUGUACGGUUAGUGUGCGUUUUAAUUACUAUUAUAAAAGUUUGUGUAGCAUGUAUUCGUUGUUAAAGCAUUCUGCAGCUUGCGUUUGAUGAUUAUUUGCCAUUUAUAUGGAAUUGGCAGCUCAUGUGCAUUAUGAUAGUAUGCCCAUGUAAUGAGUGUGAUUGAUGACGUUAUAGAAAUUUUGAGAAGUUUAUCGAUAUAGUGAGGAGACGUUAUGCUAUGGAAAGAAAAAAUAAAAAUCAGGCGACGAUUAAUUUUUGUAAAUAGGAAUUAUUGGAAUGGAUAUAGAAGUACGCACACGGAAACACGAAAGGUUAAAAUAUGUGAAAUGUCGGAUAUCCGGACAUGUAUCAGCUUCAGAUUAUAUAUACAUAUACAUAUAUGCAUAAACAA